rnacentral:rRNA from 1 species
UACAGAGGUCUCAAGCGUUGUUCGGAAUCACUGGGCGUAAAGGGUGCGUAGGCCGCACGGUAAGUCAGAGGUGAAAUCCCGGAGCUCAACUUCGGAAUUGCCUCCGAUACUGCCGUGCUUGAGGACUGGAGAGGAGAUUGGAAUUCACAGUGGAGCAGUGAAAUGCGUAGAUAUUGGUGAGGAACACUAGUGGCGAAAGGCGGGUAGCUGGGCCAACACUGAACGCU